rnacentral:lncRNA from 1 species
UCAAGCCAUUUCUCAAGAUUCUAAUAGUACUAGCAAAAAUUGAAGAUUGUUUGAAACAACGAUAACUUAGAAAAGCAUCGCAAAGUACACUGAAGAUUCGUGUAAAACGUAAAAUCCGCCUAACCAAGUACUAUACGACCAUCAUUAAACUCUACGAUCAGGAAAAUCGUAGUAGAGUGCCUCAAUUUUGAUAUGGACUAACAAUUAGGGGUGUUCAAAACAACCGAUUUUUUCAAUUUUCUGAUUUUUCGGACCAAACCGAACCGGUCGGUUCAGUAUAAAAAAACCGGUCCGGUUCGGUACAAAAAAAACG